AGUAAAUUAACUCAGUUGGUCAGACCAUGGUGCUGACAACACCAAGGUUGUGGGUUCAAUCCCUGUACUGGCCA